CCUACGGGAGACAGCAGUGGGGAAUAUUGGGCAAUGGGCGCAAGCCUGACCCAGCAACGCCGCGUGAAGGAAGAAGGCUUUCGGUUUGUAAACUUCUUUUCUCAGGGACGAAGAAAGUGACGGUACCUGAGGAAUAAGCCACUGCUAACUACCUGCCAGCCGCCGCGGUACUACGUAGGGGGCAAGCAUUAUCCGGUUUUACUGGGUGUAAAGGGCGUGUGGGCGGGGCAGCAAGUCAGAUGUGAAAACCACGGGCUCAACCUGGGGCCUGCAUUUGAAACUGUUUUUCUUGAGUACUGGAGAGGCAGACGGAAUUCCUAGUGUAGCGGUGAAAUGCGUAGAUAUUAGGAGGAACACCAGUGGCGAAGGCGGUCUGCUGGACAGCAACUGACGCUGAGGCGCGAAAGCGUGGGGAGCAAACAGGAUUAGAUACCCGAGUAGUC
rnacentral:rRNA from 1 species